AUCUUCAUGCCUUGAGCAGAACACCAUAACAAGAUUACUGCUUCCUCUCAGUAAUUCUCUAAGUCAAUUUCAGAAACUCUUUCUAAUGGCUUUUUCGUGUAGCUUAGUGUCCAAAACCAUUGUAAUAUUUCCCAGCUUCAAGCCGUGUUUACUCAAGAUAAUAACCAUAAGAUGCCUUAAUACAACAAGGAGACCGCCAAGGCCACCGGUAAAAACUAAACCACCACAAAACAACAAUUACAAAGACAAGAAAGAGACUCUGAUGACAGAGGAGAACAGUAAGAGAAAGCUCCAAGACGAUAAUUCCACGGUCAAAUCAAACUAGCUAGGAAUCUUGUUUCUUAACAAGUCAAUCGUACUUAGUCUAAAGUUAUUACUCUAGUACAAUGCUAAAAGACUAAUCAAACCAGUAGCAGCAUAUUAGAAUUUAGGAGUAGUAUGAUAUUUUAUUCUGUCGUAGGUGCUUGUAUUGUCCUUUUGUUUCCUAUUUUCCUUUGGUUAUCAUGUUAGGGAUUGUAAUAUAGGGUUUGUAAUGCAUGGAUCGUAAUAAUGCAAAAGUUGUAAUAUAAGAUCUGUAAUGCAGAAAUUGUAAUAUACGGAUUAUAAUGCAUGGAUUACUGACAUA